rnacentral:rRNA from 1 species
CCUAUACAUGCAGUUGAGCGCUGAAGGUUGGUACUUGUACCAACUGGAUGAGCAGCGAACGGGUGAGUAACGCGUGGGGAAUCUGCCUUUGAGCGGGGGACAACAUUUGGAAACGAAUGCUAAUACCGCAUAAAAACUUUAAACACAAGUUUUAAGUUUGAAAGAUGCAAUUGCAUCACUCAGAGAUGAUCCCGCGUUGUAUUAGCUAGUUGGUGAGGUAAAGGCUCACCAAGGCGAUGAUACAUAGCCGACCUGAGAGGGUGAUCGGCCACAUUGGGACUGAGACACGGCCCAAACUCCUACGGGAGGCAGCAGUAGGGAAUCUUCGGCAAUGGACGAAAGUCUGACCGAGCAACGCCGCGUGAGUGAAGAAGGUUUUCGGAUCGUAAAACUCUGUUGGUAGAGAAGAACGUUGGUGAGAGUGGAAAGCUCAUCAAGUGACGGUAACUACCCAGAAAGGGACGGCUAACUACGUGCCAGCAGCCGCGGUAAUACGUAGGUCCCGAGCGUUGUCCGGAUUUAUUGGGCGUAAAGCGAGCGCAGGUGGUUUAUUAAGUCUGGUGUAAAAGGCAGUGGCUCAACCAUUGUAUGCAUUGGAAACUGGUAGACUUGAGUGCAGGAGAGGAGAGUGGAAUUCCAUGUGUAGCGGUGAAAUGCGUAGAUAUAUGGAGGAACACCGGUGGCGAAAGCGGCUCUCUGGCCUGUAACUGACACUGAGGCUCGAAAGCGUGGGGAGCAAACAGGAUUAGAUACCCUGGUAGUCCACGCCGUAAACGAUGAGUGCUAGAUGUAGGGAGCUAUAAGUUCUCUGUAUCGCAGCUAACGCAAUAAGCACUCCGCCUGGGGAGUACGACCGCAAGGUUGAAACUCAAAGGAAUUGACGGGGGCCCGCACAAGCGGUGGAGCAUGUGGUUUAAUUCGAAGCAACGCGAAGAACCUUACCAGGUCUUGACAUACUCGUGCUAUUCCUAGAGAUAGGAAGUUCCUUCGGGACACGGGAUACAGGUGUGCAUGGUUGUCGUCAGCUCGUGUCGUGAGAUGUUGGUUAAGUCCCGCAACGAGCGCAACCCCUAUUGUAGUUGCCAUCAUUAAGUU